UGGUUGGAAAUGUGUAGUUGCAGUUGGACUGACCUUUUACUGGAUUCCUCCAAUCACGCAAUACCAUCAGCGCUAGGAGGGUGAAGGAUGGUGAUAUGGCUGCAACUGAACGGGUGAUUGAGGAGACUGUUCUUGGGAUCUAUGUGACUAGAGUUGAGGGAGCUGAAGCCAUGGG